rnacentral:rRNA from 1 species
ACKGCUCAGUAACACGUGGAUAAUCUGCCCUUAGGUGGAGGAUAAUCUCGGGAAACUGAGAAUAAUACUCCAUAGAUCUAGGAUGUUGGAAUACACUUAGAUUGAAAGAUUUAUCGCCUAAGGAUGAAUCUGCGGACUAUCAGGUAGUAGUCAGGGUAAAGACCUGACUAGCCUACGACGGAUACGGGUUGUGAGAGCAAUAACCCAGAGAUGAUAUCUGAGACACGAUAUCAGGCCCUACGGGGCGCAGCAGGCGCGAAAACUUCGCAAUGUGCGAAAGCACGACGAGGGAAUCCCAAGUGCUAGCUCGUAAGAGUUAGCUGUUUUUAUGUCUAAAACGCAUAGAGAGUAAGAGCUGGGUAAGACGGGUGCCAGCCGCCGCGGUAACACCAGCCCCUCGAGUGGUGGGGACUAUUAUUUGGCCUAAAGCGUCCGUAGCUGGCUGUGUCCGUCCCCCGUUAAAUCCAGCGUCCUAAGCGUUGGACCGCGGGUGAUACCACACAGCUAGAGGGUGGGAUAGGUGAGCGGUAUUUCUGGGGUAGGGGCGAAAUCCUUUGAUCCCAGGAGGACCACCAGUGGCGAAGGCUGCUCACUAGAACACGCCUGACGGUCAGGGACGAAAGCUGGGGCAGCGAACCGGAUUAGAUACCCGGGUAGUCCUAGCCGUAAACGAUACUCGCUAGGUGUCGGCCACGGUGCGACCGUGGUCGGUGCCGUAGGGAAGCCGUGAAGCGAGCCACCUGGGAAGUACGGCCGCAAGGCUGAAACUUAAAGGAAUUGGCGGGGGAGCAC